GACGAGGGAUCCUAGCGUUGUUCGGAAUCAUUGGGCGUAAAGGGUGCGUAGGUGGCCAUGUAAGUCAGUUGUGAAAUCCCCGGGCUCAACCCGGGAAGUGCUUCUGAUACUGCUUGGCUUGAAUAUUGGAGAGGUGAGUGGAAUUCCAGGUGUAGUGGUGAAAUACGUAGAUAUCUGGAGGAACACCGGCGGCGAAGGCGGCUCACUAGCCAUAUAUUGACACUGAAGCACGAAAGCGUGGGGAGCAAACAGG
rnacentral:rRNA from 1 species